rnacentral:misc_RNA from 1 species
CAAAUGACAAGCAAGGAGAAGCGAUAUUAAGAGGAAAAAAAAAGGGAUAAGGGAGAGAACCCAUUUGGCCUAGGGAUUCCACUACAUAAAUAAAGUAAGAAAUUAAGGGUUUGGAAACCCCAGCUUUUUGGUCAAAGAGGGGCUGUUGUUCUUGCGUGGAGAAACAAGAAAGAGUAUUGGUGGGGAACUUUAAUUUCAACCAAGGAGUUUUAAUCGAUGGAAGGAUUUUAUUUUUCAGGGAUUUUUGGCCAUAGAAAGGAAAGGAGUUUGGGUUGACAGCUUGCUAUGGAUAUUAGGAUCGAGUGAAGCCUUGAUUUUCCUUCAAAGUUUCCAUUCGCUUCUACACUAAAUCCUUGGCUAUUGAAACCACAUCAUGAGGAGCAUGGGAAUGAGGAUGAUGAUUCAGAGGCAACAGCGUGAUGUAAUUGUUAUUUAAAAUAUGUGACAGUUAUAACAUAGUCUAGAUGUUAAAAUUAUGUCACUUUUUGUUAACAUAUAUUGCCUAAUAUGACAUGUAAG